AUGGAGCGCAAGCAGGAGCAGAAGAAGAGCUUCGGGGAAGAAGCAGCCAUGGCCAUGGAGGCCUCCUCCUCGGCGUUGAGGUCGCUGCUGCACAGCAUGGCCCAACGAUGCGCCAGCUACCUGGGUCUCGCGGCUCCCCUAGCAUCCGACUACUCCCGGUCCCUUGGCGCUGGCGGCGAUGACCUGAAACCAACCGGCGCUGCCGAUGGCGUUGUGCCCCCGCCGGAGGAGGAGUUCACGGUCGUCCAGGUGCAGUCGAGAUCGAUGGUGUUUCAGAACAACCGCAAAAUAGAUCAAGGAGUCGGUGGACGUGGUGGGAUCAAAUAUUGA
rnacentral:rRNA from 1 species